AUGAUAUUGGCUGCUGUACAAGACUUCUUUAUUACACGCAUAAUGCCCAAUGGGGUUAAUGAUACGGCGAUCGUUCUAAUUCCGAAGAUUCCCCGUCCAAAGGAACUAAAAGACUUUAGACCGAUCAGCAUGUGCAACGUGGUGUAUAAAGUCGUUUCAAAAUGCAUGGUGAACAGAUUACGGCCUCUCCUAGGGGAUCUCAUCUCGGAAAAUCAAAGCGCUUUUAUUCCGGGGAGGCUCAUAUCUGAUAAUUCCAUCAUUGCUUUCGAGUGUAUCCAUCAUAUCCAGGAAGCAAAAAAUAAUUCGCCCGCCUUAUGUGCCUAUAAGCUUGAUCUAUCCAAGGCCUAUGAUCGGGUGGAUUGGGAGUUCUUGGAGAAGGCGCUAGCUAAAUGGGGUUUUUCUCAGACCUGGAUUUCACGCGUAAUGGCAUGUGUAUCUUCGGUGAAAUACUCGGUAAAUUUUAAUGGCAAGUUAUUGGAGGCGUUCACCCCCUCCAGGGGCUCCGUCAAGGUGAUUCGCUGUCCCCCUUUCUCUUCCUUUUCGUAG
rnacentral:rRNA from 1 species